CUUUAGAUGAAAUCCCAAACACUAAAUAUGCUAGUGUUAGUGGAGUUGUAAACAUGAAUGUGAAAGCUGCAGUGCUUUUUGUUGUAUUUGCUUUGUGUUUCCUGUUUAUGCUUUACAAACUGAUGUCGUCAUGGUUCAUUGACGUUUUGGUUGUUCUCUUCUGUAUUGGUGGUAUUGAGGGCUUGCAAACAUGCUUGGUUGCUCUUUUGUCCAGGUGGUUCAAGCAUGCUGAAAAG